GCCCCGCGGUCCCCCCCGGGGCAUGAACCGCCCCCCGGCGGACCGAAACCGGCCAAACCGGCAAAACCGCCCCGAUCAUGCCCGUUUUUCGGCGUUCAAACCGCCGCGCGGCUACCCCCCCAUCCCGAUGCCCCCGGACCCCUGGUCCCGUGGGACCUGACGGAAACGGAAUCGGAUGCCCGGAUCAUGAGAUACGCCCAAAACCGUCUAAACCUACUGAGCGCACCCCGAACAUGCCCAUUUUUCGGCGUUCAAACCGCCGCGCGGCUACCCCCCCAUCCCGAUGCCCCCGGAACCCUGGUCCCGCGGGACCCGACGGAAACGGAAUCGGAGGCCCGGAUCAUGAGUUACGGCCCCUUCUUUGCGGCCCCCGAGGACGUGCGCUAUAGCCCCCCGGGCCACCCCCCAUCCGGCCGCACCCGCCCGAACCCCACCGAACGCGUCCGCCGCCUCCCGAUCCCGCCCCGCGGUCCCCCCCGGGGCAUGAACCGCCCCCCGGCGGGCCGAAACCGGCCAAACCGGCAAAACCGCCCCGAUCAUGCCCGUUUUUCGGCGUUCAAACCGCCGCGCGGCUACCCCCCCAUCCCGAUGCCCCCGGACCCCUGGUCCCGUGGGACCUGACGGAAACGGAAUCGGAUGCUCGGAUCAUGAGAUACGCCCAAAACCGUCUAAACCUACUCAGCGCUCCCCGAACAUGCCCAUUUUUCGGCGUUCAAACCGCCGCGCGGCUACCCCCCCAUCCCGAUGCCCCCGGAACCCUGGUCCCGCGGGACCCGACGGAAACGGAAUCGGAGGCCCGGAUCAUGAGUUACGGCCCAGUCUUUGCGGCCCCCGAGGACGUACGCUAUAGCCCCCCGGGCCACCCCCCAUCCGGCCGCACCCGCCCGAACCCCACCGAACGCGUACGGAGCUUCACCAAUCCCACCCAGCGGUCCCCCCCGGGGCAUAAACCGCCCCCGGGCGGGUGAAACGGGCCAAACCGGUUAAACCGCCCCGAUCAUGCCCAUUUUUCGGCGUUCAAACCGCCGCACGGCUACCCCCCCAUCCCGAUGCCCCCGGACCCCUGGUCCCGUGGGACCUGACGGAAACGGAAUCGGAUGCUCGGAUCAUGAGAUACGCCCAAAACCGUCUAAACCUACUCAGCGCUCCCCGAACAUGCCCAUUUUUCGGCGUUCAAACCGCCGCGCGGCUACCCCCCCAUCCCGAUGCCCCCGGAACCCUGGUCCCGCGGGACCCGACGGAAACGGAAUCGGAGGCCCGGAUCAUGAGUUACGGCCCCUUCUUUGCGGCCCCCGAGGACGUGAGCUAUAGCCCCCCGGGCCACCCCCCAUCCGGCCGCACCCGCCCGAACCCCACCGAACGCGUCCGCCGCCUCCCGAUCCCGCCCCGCGGUCCCCCCCGGGGCAUGAACCGCCCCCCGGCGGGCCGAAACCGGCCAAACCGCCCCGAUCAUGCCCAUUUUUCGGCGUUCAAACCGCCGCACGGCUACCCCCCCAUCCCGAUGCCCCCGGACCCCUGGUCCCGUGGGACCUGACGGAAACGGAAUCGGAUGCUCGGAUCAUGAGAUACGCCAAAAACCGUCUAAACCUACUGAGCGCACCCCGAACAUGCCCAUUUUUCGGCGUUCAAACCGCCGCGCGGCUACCCCCCCAUCCCGAUGCCCCCGGAACCCUGGUCCCGCGGGACCCGACGGAAACGGAAUCGGAGGCCCGGAUCAUGAGUUACGGCCCCUUCUUUGCGGCCCCCGAGGACGUGCGCUAUAGCCCCCCGGGCCACCCCCCAUCCGGCCGCACCCGCCCGAACCCCACCGAACGCGUCUGCCGCCUCCCGAUCCCGCCCCGCGGUCCCCCCCGGGGCGUGAACCGCCCCCCGGCGGGCCGAAACCGGCCAAACCGGCUAAACCGCCCCGAUCAUGCCCAUUUUUCGGCGUUCAAACCGCCGCUCGGCUACCCCCCCAUCCCGAUGCCCCCGGACCCCUGGUCCCGUGGGACCUGACGGAAACGGAAGCGGAUGCUCGGAUCAUGAGAUACGCCCAAAACCGUCUAAACCUACUGAGCGCACCCCGAACAUGCCCAUUUUUCGGCGUUCAAACCGCCGCGCGGCUACCCACCCAUCACGAUGCCCCCGGAACCUUGGUCCCGCGGGACCCGACGGAAACGGAAUCGGAGGCCCGGAUCAUGAGUUACGGCCCCUUCUUUGCGGCCCCCGAGGACGUGCGCUAUAGCCCCCCGGGCCACCCCCCAUCCGGCCGCACCCGCCCGAACCCCACCGAACGCGUCCGCCGCCUCCCGAUCCCGCCCCGCGGUCCCCCCCGGGGCAUGAACCGCCCCCCGGCGGGCCGAAACCGGCCAAACCGGCUAAACCGCCCCGAUCAUGCCCAUUUUUCGGCGUUCAAACCGCCGCACGGCUACCCCCCCAUCCCGAUGCCCCCGGACCCCUGGUCCCGUGGGACCUGACGGAAACGGAAUCGGAUGCUCGGAUCAUGAGAUACGCCCAAAACCGUCUAAACCUACUGAGCGCACCCCGAACAUGCCCAUUUUUCGGCGUUCAAACCGCCGCGCGGCUACCCCCCCAUCCCGAUGCCCCCGGAACCCUGGUCCCGUGGGACCCGACGGAAACGGAAUCGGAGGCCCGGAUCAUGAGUUACGGCCCCUUCUCUGCGGCCCCCGAGGACAUGCGCUAUAGCCCCCCGGGC
rnacentral:lncRNA from 1 species